rnacentral:rRNA from 1 species
UGGGCAACCUGCCCCUAGCACUGGGAUAACCCCGGGAAACCGGGGCUAAUACCGGAUACGACACGGGAGGGCAUCCUCUUCGUGUGGAAAGGAUUUCCGGCUAGGGAUGGACCCGCGGUGCAUUAGCUAGUUGGUGAGGUAACGGCUCACCAAGGCAACGAUGCGUAGCCGACCUGAGAGGGUGAUCGGCCACAUUGGAACUGAGACACGGUCCAGACUCCUACGGGAGGCAG